UUCACUGUUUAUGGAGAGCUUUACAGUAAGAAAGUGUCGACAGAAGCAGGCACAUCCGGGUACAAAGUGUUGCUGUUGGUUGUUCUUCUGUUCUACAGUUCCAACUGCUUUGCACUCUCAGCCAGAGAGGUCCUCUACAGGAAAUCACCUUUGCUAGGCGUUCUGCUCUUACCCAUUCGACCCAGGACCUCCAAGCACAGUCCUGGGGUAUGGACUUGCCUAAGAGAAGUGUGAUCGGCGAGCCCACCCCAAACAUUUAUUGUAAACUUUAAAUGGAGUCCGGAUAUGAAUGACACAGAAGGGAGACACCUCCUCACACAGAAAGGAGAAUACCAUAUAGUGUCCUAGAGUCUCGCAGAUAUCACAAGGCCCGGCCAGAAUAAGUGCCAAGCCUCACGCAGGCACAACACCAAGCAAAGCCUGACUGCUACCCUUUGGGUGUCUCGUUGGGGAUCGGGCCUGAACUCAGCAGGCUCGGCUAGGCUCCCAAGGGCGCGCCAUCUCACAAGGCGGCCGGCAGCAAUAGGGGUAGGAGGCGUUGAGGUCGGGGUCCGAGGGCGCAUACCCUGGCAGUUCCACGGACGGGUGCCCGCCACAGCACACCUCCACGCCCGCCUCGUCAAACGCGUGGAAGACGCCCACGUUGAUGUAGGACACAGCGUGGUGCGCAGCGAAGCUCGCGCAAUCUCCUGGGGUGGUGAAGUCGGACUCCUCCGGGGAUAGGAUGGAGGCCUCGCUGGGCCGUGGCUGCAGCCGCCGCCCCCUUUUGCCCCGGCGGCCG
rnacentral:lncRNA from 1 species